GAUGAACGCUGGCGGCGUGCCUAAUACAUGCAAGUCGAGCGAACAGACGAGGAGCUUGCUCCUCUGACGUUAGCGGCGGACGGGUGAGUAACACGUGGAUAACCUACCUAUAAGACUGGGAUAACUUCGGGAAACCGGAGCUAAUACCGGAUAAUAUAUUGAACCGCAUGGUUCAAUAGUGAAAGACGGUUUUGCUGUCACUUAUAGAUGGAUCCGCGCCGCAUUAGCUAGUUGGUAAGGUAACGGCUUACCAAGGCAACGAUGCGUAGCCGACCUGAGAGGGUGAUCGGCCACACUAGAACUGGAACACGGUCCAGACUCCUACGAGAGGCAGCAGUAGGGAAUCUUCCGCAGUGGGCGAAAGCCUGACGGAGCAACGCCGCGUGAGUGAUGAAGGUCUUCGGAUCGUAAAACUCUGUUAUUAGGGAAGAACAAAUGUGUAAGUAACUAUGCACGUCUUGACGGUACCUAAUCAGAAAGCCACGGCUAACUACGUG
rnacentral:rRNA from 1 species